rnacentral:rRNA from 1 species
UACGUAGGGGGCGAGCGUUGUCCGGAAUGAUUGGGCGUAAAGCGCGCGUAGGUGGCUAUUUAAGUCAGAUGUGAAAGCCCUGGGCUCAACCUGGGAAUGGCAUUUGAUACUGGAUAGCUAGAGUAUGGUAGAGGUGAGUGGAAUUUCAGGUGUAGCGGUGAAAUGCGUAGAGAUCUGAAGGAACAUCAGUGGCGAAGGCGACUCACUGGGCCAUUACUGACACUGAGGUGCGAAAGCGUGGGUAGCAAACAGG